ensembl:lncRNA
CUCUUUAUGUGUAAUACAGAUGGCAUUAUUCUAGGUAAUUCUCUUUUUCAAUUCCAGCCCUCAAGCCACUCAAACAAAGAGAAAAUUGUAGAUGGAUAUGAACUAAUUUCUUGGUAUAUAUCCAAAACCCACAAAUAAUGAGGGAUGGGAGAAACUCAAAAGCUCUGUAGAUUUGGUUUGGACACACACUCAAGUUUGACUCUUCCGCAAAGUUAUAAGGAACCUCCAUAACUGGAGCUGUGCUCCAUUACACUGGUGUAAACAAAUCCAGUGGUGACUCCAGGGGGAGAGUUCAGCAAAUGACCCCUAUGGCUGAAGAUCUCAGGAGAAAAGAUUUUGUGUGAGAUUUCUAUUACUUCCUGUUUCUCGUCAGGUUCAGGUCAAGAACCACUUUUCUCACAGUGCAGGGGCACUGGUGUUCCCAUCUGCAAUGGACUGGGAAGCGCUGGGGAGCAUGGAAAUAAAGCUGAGACAGGCUUUCAUAGGGCAGGAGAGCUCUGUUUUGGGCUAGAUCAUAGCAGUGGGCAAAGGUCGGUUUUUAUUUUGUCUGAACUGGUUCCUGCAUUCAAAGUAUGGAAAUAUCAGCCUGAGAUAUGAGAAUACGGGUCUGAGCUGCAUCACCUGUGUGGGGUAACUCUAACAUCGAAACUUUUAUCUCACAUGUCACUAACACCGCUUCUUUCCUAUUUGCAGAGCAUCCCUGAGAGCAAGGACAGCUAUCUGGCAUCCCACAGCUGUAUGGUUAUUCCAACCUGAGAGUACCAGCAGUUCAGUUGAUGACCUGGUCUCCCCUUGCUUUUGAGGCAUGCCCCAGUGAGCAGAUGUCAGAGGCUGCAGUUACUGCUCAGAGAUACACAAUGCUUCACAGCAAAGACAAGGGACAUCGUCUACAGAGAAGUGCAAAAGAGUUUUAGCAGAAGGCCCAGUACUUUCACAAGUCUGCUUCAGAGAGUGGCAUUUUCUACCUUCCGGGCACUUUUCAGAAGUAUUGUCACUAGCUCUGCAAUCUUGUUCAAUAAGGGCUGAAAUAUAUGUAUUAGCAGGAAUAUUUUACUACUUGCAAGAAAUCCCAUUCCAACCACUUAGAUCUGAUACAGGACUGAGCUUCUUCAACUUAUACUGGCACAGCUCAGCUCUCCCUAUAGAGUCCAGACAUGAUGAUACAUAACGGGCAAAAUGAUGAGCAUCCUUAAAUGUGAGUGAUAUUGUCAGCACUUCAAGGAAAUUGUAUAUACAGAUCUACUUAGUUAAUAAUGAGAUGUGCACACCUUCUGUGCACCUCACUGAGCACACAUUUAAACAUAUGGCUGCUGAGAUAGAAUAUAUCCUGCCAGCCUUUUUUCUUAAUUAAAGUUAUGCGAGUUAUGAAAUACUUUCUUUUAUAUUAAGCUCUUAUGCCUGUGGAGAAAUUUCUAUUUGUUUUUAUCUCAUUUGAGCUUCAAGGUUAAUCUUAGUUUAAGAAUCUCGCUCGCUGUGCUAGCAAUGCUUCAUUCUGAUCUGUGCGCGUGGGUGUGCGCAUCCUUUUGUUUCAUGCUGGGGCUGGAUGCUGCUGGCUGAGUACCCUCCAUGUACUGGUUUGCCCUACAGACGUUAGCAAUAGGUGUAGGUGACUGGGAAAAUGGUACAUGAAGACUAUUUAACUGAUAGUGUAUAGGUUCAUAAAAAUAAAACCAAGAGGUCAGGUGAAGAGUCUUGUUUUGCAAGACAACGCAAAUGUGAGGUGUUUCACUCUCUGACCUGUUGGAGAUGGGAAUUCAGGAAUCAUUGAUAUAUAUUUACUUAUUUUACUCUAUGACAGCAGCAAGUUAUAACUUAGUCCAGCAAGAAAAAAGGCGUAAAGGAGAAAGAAAAAAGAGCAAGGCAUUUAGAUCAAAUUAACUCACCAGAAAUAAAACAAUAAAACCACCUGCUUUGUCCACAAAUAAACUUUUUAUGCCGUGAUCUUCAUGUCAUAUCUUAUCCGUGUACUGGACAAAUGUAGCAGUAGUACUAAAAAAAAAUCCAUCACAGUUAUAGGUACUAAAAUGAAUGUCUGAAUUAUUUACAUAAGUCUAUCUUUCCUUGGACCUUGGGAUCUGCAGUAAUUCAGGGUAAUGGUUCAGCUCUUUCCUCUAGUUCAUCACCAUUAUGUUUUUGCAAUCAGAAAAACCUGUUCUCUUGCCUUUUUUCUUCAGGAUAUGUAACAAAGAAUAUCUUAAGGAAGGAUAAAACCCAUAAUUUUCAGUGCUUUGU